GCCCUAAUGAACUGAUAUCCCACAAUCGUACAUACGUGAACCCUCCAUUUCUUACCUUUCCGUAUCGUCCUCCUCUUCUUUUUUCUUUCCUCUUCUCCAAUGGCGAUCGUGACGAUUCUUCAAUGAAUCUCGUGGACUUCUCGUAUUUCUAAAUAUACUUUCCUCAUCGGACUUCUAAUUCUUCAUUUCCUAUCUCGAGCUCUCGCGUUGCCAUCGAGCAGCUUGCACUUCGAGAAUGGGCGGUGAUAAUGCCAUCACUCUUGAGGAGAUUAAAAGCGAGGCCGUUGAUCUGGAACGUAUUCCAAUAGAGGAAGUGUUUGAACAGUUGAAAUGUACACGAGAAGAACACAAAUGUGAAUUCGUGGAAGGGCUGAAGGAAAGGAAGCAUAUGUGUGCAAUGACAGGGAAUGGUGUUAAUGAUGCACCUUCUUUAAAGAAGGCAGAUAUCGGAAUGGCUGUUCCUGAUGCUACUGAUGCAGCCAGAUUGCUUCGGAUAUUGUCGGUACAGAACCAGGAUUGAGUGUAAUUGUUAGUGCGGUACUCACCAAUAGGCUAUUGGUUAGGAAUUGGUUAGGAAUCACGGAUCUCCACCAUAGUAUGAUAAGCUCUCAUGGCUUUGCUUUUGGGCUUUCCCAAAAGGUCUCAUACACAUAUUUUUUACUUAUAAACCCAUGAUCAUUCCCUAAAUUAGCCCAUAGCCAACCUGGGACUCACUCUCAACAAUCCUCAAUGCUAUUUUCGAGGGAAUGAAGAAUUUCACGAUUUAUGCAGUUUCAAUUACCAUUCGUACAGUGGCAUCAUUCUGAAUGACGGUAAAUUCACAGGAAUGGAACUUCAUCUCAUAUAUUACGUCUAGAGAGAAGCACAAUGGGCAGAAACACAGAGGAGUCUACAUGGUCUACAACCACCUGAAAACUCCAAUCUCUUUCAUGAGAAAAGUAAUCAUAUGGAGCUUUCAGAGAUCGCAGAGACAGCCAAGCGCCGUGCUGCUGAGGUUGCAUGGUCAGUAUUUGCAUUUUCUCUCUUUGCAUUUUCUCUCUA